UGGGGAAUCUUGGACAAUGGGGGCAACCCUGAUCCAGCCAUGCCGCGUGAGUGAUGAAGGCCUUAGGGUCGUAAAGCUCUUUCGCCUGUGAAGAUAAUGACGGUAGCAGGUAAAGAAACCCCGGCUAACUCCGUGCCAGCAGCCGCGGUAAUACGGAGGGGGUUAGCGUUGUUCGGAAUUACUGGGCGUAAAGCGCACGUAGGCGGACCAGAAAGUUGGGGGUGAAAUCCCGGGGGCUCAACCCCGGAACUGCCUCCAAAACUAUUGGUCUAGAGUUCGAGAGAGGUGAGUGGAAUUCCAAGUGUAGAGGUGAAAUUCGUAGAUAUUUGGAGGAACACCAGUGGCGAAGGCGGCUCACUGGCUCGAUACUGACGCUGAGGUGCGAAAGUGUGGGGAGCAAACAGGAUUAGAUACCCUGGUAGUCCACACCGUAAAACGAUGAAUGCCAGUCGUCGGGUAGCAUGCUAUUCGGUGACACACCUAACGGAUUAAGCAUUCCGGCCUGGGGAGUACGGUCGCAAGAUUAAAACCUCAAAUGAAUUG
rnacentral:rRNA from 1 species